GAGAUACUUCCUAGCAAGCUGUAUUUCCUUACCAAGGCUUCGCUGUAGCACUAAGUAGGUGCUGAAGAUUAGUCUGUGACUAAACUCUUUGGACUUCAUGUUUUAGAGGCGCGCAGAGGAGAAAGACACCUCUGCUGAGAGGUACACAAGCACCAAACUGCUGAGAGGGAAACCAGGUCCUGAGGAGGGUAAUUACAUAUUCUGGACAGUUGAUUUCAGUGAGGCAUUAGACCCUUG
rnacentral:lncRNA from 1 species